rnacentral:rRNA from 1 species
GACGAACCACACAAACGUUAUUCGGAAUUACUGGGCUUAAAGGGUGCGUAGGCGGCGCAGAAAGUAGGGUGUGAAAUCCCUCGGCUCAACCGAGGAACUGCGCCCUAAACUACUGUGCUCGAGGGAGGUAGAGGUGAGCGGAACUUAGGUGGAGCGGUGAAAUGCGUUGAUAUCCUAAGGAACACCGGUGGCGAAAGCGGCUCACUGGACCACAACGUGACGCUGAGGCGCGAAAGCUAGGGGAGCAAACAGG